GACAGUGUGUAUGAGGAGGAGGAGGAGGUGAACCAUUGACAGUGUGUAUGAGGAGGAGGAGGUGAACUAUUGACAGUGUGUAUGAGGAGGAGGAGGUGAACUAUUGACAGUGUGUAUGAGGAGGAGGAGGAGGUGAACCAUUGACAGUGUGUAUGAGGAGGAGGAGGUGAACUAUUGACAGUGUGUAUGAGGAGGAGGAGGUGAACCAUUGACAGUGUGUAUGAGGAGGAGGAGGAGGUGAACCAUUGACAGUGUGUAUGAGGAGGAGGAGGAGGAGGUGAACCAUUGACAGUGUGUAUGAGGAGGAGGAGGUGAACCAUUGACAGUGUGUAUGAGGAGG